rnacentral:rRNA from 1 species
UACGGGGGGAGCAAGCGUUGUUCGGAUUUACUGGGCGUAAAGGGCGCGUAGGCGGCGCAACAAGUCACUUGUGAAAUCUCCGGGCUUAACCCGGAGCGGCCAAGUGAUACUGUCGUGCUAGAGUGCGGAAGGGGCUACUGGAAUUCCUGGUGUAGCGGUGGAAUGCGCAGAUAUCAGGAGGAACACCGGUGGCGAAGGCGGGUCUCUGGGCAGUAACUGACGCUGAGGAGCGAAAGCGUGGGGAGCGAACAGG